UACGUAGGGUGCAAGCGUUGUCCGGAAUUAUUGGGCGUAAAGAGCGUGUAGGCGGCCCGAUUAGUCCGCUGUGAAAGUCCAGGGCUCAACCCUGGAAUGCCGGUGGAUACUGUCGGGCUAGAGUCCGGAAGGGGCGACUGGAAUUCCUGGUGUAGCGGUGAAAUGCGCAGAUAUCAGGAGGAACACCGGUGGCGAAGGCGGGUCUCUGGGCAAUAACUGACGCUGAGGAGCGAAAGCGUGGGGAGCGAACAGG
rnacentral:rRNA from 1 species